CGGUUCCCCGCCGCCACGACUUGUUGAUGGGGAGACCACCUUUUCUGUCAAUCGUAUUUUGGACUCUAGAAGGAGGGGACGCGGAUUCCAGUACCUGGUGGACUGGGAGGGUUACGGCCCGGAGGAGAGAAGUUGGGUACCUGCUAGGGACAUUCUGGAUCACUCCCUUAUCGAUGAUUUCAAUCGACAGUGUUUGUGUGGGCGUGGUUUCCCAAUCUCGGCCUGAUUGUCUGCGCCAGCUGGAACCACUUAUCUUCCCUUUAUAUGUUCUGUUACCAGUGUUUCUUGUUGUCAGAUCGUUGUUUCUUCUCUGAGGUUGUGUCGUGUGUCCGUGCUCUUCUCUUGUGUGGAUUAUCUGCUGUGCUCCUUCCUACUCAUCUGGACACACUCCCCUGGUUUUCUCAGCACGUUAUGAUCGGAAGAUGCGCCCGAGUUCCUGGGUCGGAUUCCUUCUGAGUACAGUCUGUCUGUCAUGUUGCUGCUGUGAACUACAUUCAUUAAAACCAUCGUUGCUUGCA